rnacentral:rRNA from 1 species
UGGGGAAUAUUGCGCAAUGGGCGAAAGCCUGACGCAGCGACGCCGCGUGAGGGAUGAAGGUUUUCGGAUCGUAAACCUCUGUCAGAAGGGAAGAAACCGCACUGUGCUAAUCAGCAGUGCCUUGACGGUACCUUCAAAGGAAGCACCGGCUAACUCCGUGCCAGCAGCCGCGGUAAUACGGAGGGUGCAAGCGUUAAUCGGAAUUACUGGGCGUAAAGCGCACGUAGGCUGCUUUGUAAGUCAGGGGUGAAAUCCCAUGGCUCAACCGUGGAACUGCCUUUGAUACUGCUUAGCUUGAAUCCGGGAGAGGGUGGCGGAAUUCCAGGUGUAGGAGUGAAAUCCGUAGAUAUCUGGAGGAACAUCAGUGGCGAAGGCGGCCACCUGGACCGGUAUUGACGCUGAGGUGCGAAAGCGUGGGGAGCAAACAGG